rfam:Schizosaccharomyces cryophilus OY26 unplaced genomic scaffold supercont4.1, whole genome shotgun sequence.
GUCAGUAUGUCCGAGUGGUUAAGGAGUUAGACUCGAAUUCUCCAUUCGAGGCAUCUAAUGGGCUUUGCCCGCGCAGGUUCAAAUCCUGCUGCUGACG